rnacentral:lncRNA from 1 species
UUGUAACAAGCGCCAUUGUUGUAUUGCAUUACGAUGGACAAGUACAUGCCACCUAUCUGUGCGUCAGUCCUGCUGUUGUCCCUACUUCUUCUCAUAUGCAUUCCUACUCCUACACUAUGUAAGUGGUCGGUACACAAGUGUUAUAAAUUUGUACUUACUCGCGCAACAAUUUGAAUUUCCUAUUUCUGUUGGAAGUAGGUACUCUCUAGGACAAGUAUUUCCGGACGGAGUGAGUAUUUACCACUGCAUUUUUUCCAUUUGUGUGCCAUAUGCUGCUUCUUUAUUAAUGAAUCCAAAAUCUUACUAAAAUUGUCAAUUGUUUGUUAUUUUUCCAUCUGCUCCUUCUUUAUUAAUGAAUCCAAAAUCUUACUAAAAUCGUCAAUUGUUUGUUAUUUUUCCAUAGGUCAAAUUAUGGAUGGCAUGGACAAUCGUAAAGUCAGUUUACCAAAUGGGUUGUGCGUCCAUAAAGAAAAGGUUCAUGCCUGCCACGUUAACCGAAAGUGCUACUGUUGUGAUGUGACCAACUUGUGCUAUCUGACAAUCGAUUUAUGCAAGAAAAAUUGUUGAGGUUUGGCAUGUAUAGUGGCGAUGACAACCCAUCUAUUUGUUACCCUUCCUCCGUUCCCGUCAAAUUUAGCUUUUGUUUGAAGAAAUAAUAUGUGAUAUCAAAGAUGUAUCUGCAAGAAAAAUAAUAUCCCAUUUAUCGUUUGAUUGGUGAUGGUGUUGCAAGUAAACUUUGGGCAGCACUAAGAUUUUGGUUC